CCUGCGGGCUCCCCAUCCGACCCGUCUUGAAACACGGACCAAGGAGUCUGACAUGCGUGCGAGUCGACGGGUUUUGAAACCUGGGAUGCGCAAGGAAGCUGACGAGCGGGAGGCCCUCACGGGCCGCACCGCUGGCCGACCCCGUCCUUCUGCGAAGGGUUCGAGUUGGAGCACGCCUGUCGGGACCCGAAAGACGGUGAACUAUGCCUGAGCGGG
rnacentral:ncRNA from 1 species